GCGACGCUGGCGGCGUGCCUAAACAUGCAAGUCGAGCGAAUCUUUGGGNGCUUGCUCCCAUUGGUUAGCGGCGGACGGGUGAGUAACACGUGGGCAACCUGCCUGUAAGACUGGGAUAACUUCGGGAAACCGGAGCUAAUACCGGAUAAUCCUUUUCCUCACAUGAGGGAAAGCUGAAAGACGGUUUCGGCUGUCACUUACAGAUGGGCCCGCGGCGCAUUAGCUAGUUGGUGAGGUAACGGCUCACCAAGGCGACGAUGCGUAGCCGACCUGAGAGGGUGAUCGGCCACACUGGGACUGAGACACGGCCCAGACUCCUACGGGAGGCAGCAGUAGGGAAUCUUCCGCAAUGGACGAAAGUCUGACGGAGCAACGCCGCGUGAGCGAAGAAGGCCUUCGGGUCGUAAAGCUCUGUUGUUAGGGAAGAACAAGUAUCGGAGUAACUGCCGGUACCUUGACGGUACCUAACCAGAAAGCCACGGCUAACUACGUGCCAGCAA
rnacentral:rRNA from 1 species